rnacentral:piRNA from 1 species
UAUUGUAGAAAGCAGGGGAAUAGAGAA